UACGAAGGGUGCAAGCGUUGUUCGGAAUCAUUGGGCGUAAAGCGCGCGCAGGCGGAUCAGCAAGUCAGAUGUGAAAUCUCGAAGCUCAACUUCGAAACUGCGUCUGAAACUGCUAGUCUAGAAUAUCGGAGGGGGCAGGGGAAUUUCACGUGUAGGGGUAAAAUCCGUAGAGAUGUGAAGGAACACCGGGGGCGAAGGCGCCUGCCUGGACGAUUAUUGACGCUGAGGCGCGAAAGCGUGGGGAGCAAACAGG
rnacentral:rRNA from 1 species